rnacentral:rRNA from 1 species
GACAGAGGGUGCAAGCGUUGUUCGGAAUUAUUGGGCGUAAAGGGCGCGUAGGCGGUCUUGUAAGUCAGAUGUGAAAUCCCUGGGCUUAACCCAGGAAGUGCAUCUGAUACUGCAUGGCUUGAGUCUCGGAGAGGAUGGUGGAAUUCCCAGUGUAGAGGUGAAAUUCGUAGAUAUUGGGAGGAACACCGGUGGCGAAGGCGACCAUCUGGACGAAGACUGACGCUGAGGCGCGAAAGUGUGGGGAGCAAACAGG